GCCUGGUUAGCUCAGUAGGUAUAAGCGCUCCACUGGAAAUAGAGAGGCCCCUGGUGCAAUACCAGGACCAGGCG
rnacentral:tRNA from 1 species